rnacentral:rRNA from 1 species
UACGUAGGGGGCUAGCGUUGUCCGGAAUCAUUUGGGCGUAAAGAGCGUGUAGGCGGCCAGGUAGGUCCGUUGUGAAAACUGGAGGCUUAACCUCCAGCUGUCGAUGGAAACCAUCUGGCUAGAGUCCGGAAGAGGAGAGUGGAAUUCCUGGUGUAGCGGUGAAAUGCGCAGAUAUCAGGAAGAACACCCGUGGCGAAGGCGGCUCUCUGGGACGGUACUGACGCUGAGACGCGAAAAGCGUGGGGGAGCGAACAGG